UACAGAGGGUGCGAGCGUUGCCCGGAAUCACUGGGCGUAAAGGGCGCGUAGGCGGCUUGAUAAGCGUGCGGUGAAAGCCCGGGGCUCAACCCCGGGUCGGCCGUGCGAACUGUCGAGCUGGAGCACUGUAGAGGCAGGUGGAAUUCCGGGUGUAGCGGUGGAAUGCGUAGAGAUCCGGAAGAACACCGGUGGCGAAGGCGGCCUGCUGGGCAGUGGCUGACGCUGAGGCGCGACAGCGUGGGGAGCAAACAGG
rnacentral:rRNA from 1 species